rnacentral:rRNA from 1 species
GGCCUACACAUGCAAGUCGAGCGGUAGAGAGAAGCUUGCUUCUCUUGAGAGCGGCGGACGGGUGAGUAAUGCCUAGGAAUCUGCCUGGUAGUGGGGGAUAACGCUCGGAAACGGACGCUAAUACCGCAUACGUCCUACGGGAGAAAGCAGGGGACCUUCGGGCCUUGCGCUAUCAGAUGAGCCUAGGUCGGAUUAGCUAGUUGGUGAGGUAAUGGCUCACCAAGGCGACGAUCCGUAACUGGUCUGAGAGGAUGAUCAGUCACACUGGAACUGAGACACGGUCCAGACUCCUACGGGAGGCAGCAGUGGGGAAUAUUGGACAAUGGGCGAAAGCCUGAUCCAGCCAUGCCGCGUGUGUGAAGAAGGUCUUCGGAUUGUAAAGCACUUUAAGUUGGGAGGAAGGGCAGUUACCUAAUACGUAUCUGUUUUGACGUUACCGACAGAAUAAGCACCGGCUAACUCUGUGCCAGCAGCCGCGGUAAU